UACGUAGGGUGCAAGCGUUGUCCGGAAUCAUUGGGCGUAAAGCGCGUGUAGGCGGUCCGGUAAGUCCGCUGUGAAAGUCGGGGGCUCAACCCUCGGAUGCCGGUGGAUACUGUCGGGCUUGAGUACGGAAGAGGCGAGUGGAAUUCCUGGUGUAGCGGUGAAAUGCGCGGAUAUCAGGAGGAACACCAAUUGCGAAGGCAGCUCGCUGGGACGUUACUGACGCUGAGACGCGAAAGCGUGGGGAGCAAACAGG
rnacentral:rRNA from 1 species